CUUUAAAAUGUGAAUCUCACAGAGGCGGAUCUAUUUUUUUUAAUGGUUUCAUAGGUUGUUAAUUCUUAGAGCUAGCUAGCUAUUGGUUUUGCUAGACACAGAGGAAGCUCUUAGUAGCGCUUCUCAAAAAUUACUUCCAUAGUUAGCUCUUUCCCUCCUCACCACAAAUCAAUUAAUGCAGAACCAGCACACGUCUGAAAUGCAAGAAAGCUUCCUCUUAUUAUACAGUUCAGGUUUGGUUUAGAAAAUUGGCUAAAUGUUAAGCAAAUUAGUUGUGGGGUUUUUUUUAAAUAUUAGAAAUUAACCAACCUUUUUUUUUAUUGAAUGUUUGUUUUUUUUAUUAUUGGUGGCACUACUACUAGGUUUGUAUUUAUAGUGGGAUGAAUUGCCUGAUAGAGGUAUUCUCAUAAUUACUUUGAUUGUUGAAAUUUUUUUGGCAUUCUUUUCUCCCUGCUUAAAGUAGGUAUAAAAUUUAAACAUUAGAGUUUAUUACAUAUUCACACUAUGCAAUUCUGAUCACAUGCCUACCUGAUUUCAUAAUAUGGACCUAUGUACCUCCAUUCUUACAACAAAGUGAAUACAAAAUCUAACUUUAGGUGACUACCUAAAAGUGAGGCAUGAGAAAAAGGACCAGUGUUUUAUUUCUGGAACAGGAGGUGGGCGAAGAAAAAUCUUAGGUAUGACAUUAUUGGUGUUAAUUUUGUUUUGACAGUAUGCUUUUUCAGAAUCAAAGUACAAAGCCUCUGUUGCAUGCCUCAAUUUUGGAAAAAAAGUAUAUACAUUUUGACUGGUUUCUGUAGAUUAUUUAUUAUUAUGGUGGACCUAAGAUAUUGGAUAAGAAGGAAAUUAUUUGUUAUGAGCAAGUGGCUUCUGUGAACAGUCUUCAGUUUGACGAAACAGCUUAGUAUUGGGUUCAAAGGGUAACUGAGACAGAGUUGAUUUGAAUCCCUUCUUUCACUUCUCUAAUUCUCAUGUGCAUUAGAGUUCAUGAAAUGUAUGCAUUGGCUGGGCUGGCUUCAUUCAAACUCUGGAUUGAAAAGGGACUUUUGAAAGCUGAAAUCUUUUGCGUGCCUACAGGCAGAGGUUUUUCUUCUGGUUGGAGAAGAGGAGGAAGUAAGGAGAUGUGAGGGAAAACAACAUGGCGGUACC